GGGCCGUGGGUUNUAAGACACCGCCCUUUCACGGCGGUAACAGGGGUUCAAUUCCCCUACGAGUCACCA
rnacentral:tRNA from 1 species